rnacentral:miRNA from 1 species
AAGUGGACAAAAGAGGAGUGGGAA